rnacentral:rRNA from 1 species
UACGAAGGGGGCUAGCGUUGCUCGGAAUCACUGGGCGUAAAGCGCACGUAGGCGGAUCUUUAAGUCAGGGGUGAAAUCCCAAGGCUCAACCUUGGAACUGCCUUUGAUACUGGGGAUCUCGAGUCCGGAAGAGGUGAGUGGAACUGCGAGUGUAGAGGUGAAAUUCGUAGAUAUUCGCAAGAACACCAGUGGCGAAGGCGGCUCACUGGUCCGGUACUGACGCUGAGGUGCGAAAGCGUGGGGAGCAAUCAGG